rnacentral:rRNA from 1 species
CCCGCUGAACUUAAGCAUAUUACUAAGCGGAGGAGAAGAAAUUAACUAAGAUUGCCUUAGUAAGGGCGACUGAACCGGCAAAAGCUCGAAAUUAAAAUCGGGAAUCCAAUGGAUUUUCGAAUUGUAAUCAGGGUUGCCUAAAUACGGGAGGCCUCUCAAGAGUCUCGAAAGGCUCGCCAGAGAGGGUGCAAGCCCCGUGCAGGGGUCUCUCGAAUGAGGUAAUUCGACGAAGAGUCGUGUUGCUUGGAACUGCAGCACUAAGUGGGAGAUAUGAUUCUUCCAAAGCUAAAUAUUGAUGGGAGACCGAUAGCGAACAAGUACUGUGAAGGAAAGAUGAAAAGGACUUUGAAAAGAGAGUGAAAAGAUCUGAAAUCGUUGAGAAGGAAGCGGUUAAAACUGAUCUGGGUCAUGAAGGCGCAACGCGGGCAAAACUCGUGGCGCGUCUACCAAAACCCUUAACAAAAUGAAUCUCUUCGCGCCAAAAAAGGUGCAAGCCGUGAAGGGUGUGAAGGGAUUGAGGGGCUACGGCGAUUUUGUUUAUAGGUUUUAACCGUCCCGUCUUGAAACACGG